rnacentral:rRNA from 1 species
GACGAACGCUGGCGGCGUGCUUAACACAUGCAAGUCGAACGGAAAGGCCUGCUUUCCCUUGUGGAUUGCGGGUACUCGAGUGGCGAACGGGUGAGUAACACGUGAGUGAUCUGCCCCCAACUUGGGUAUAAGCCUGGGAAACUGGGUCUAAUUCCCGAUAGGACUGCAGGGUGGUGCCUGUGGUGGAAAACGAUUUUCUAGUGGUUGGGGAUGAGCUCGCGGCCUAUCAGCUUGUUGGUGGGGUAAUGGCCUACCAAGGCGGCGACGGGUAGCCGGCCUGGGAGGGUGGACGGCCACAUUGGGACUGAGAGACGGCCCAGACUCCGACGGGAGGCAGCAGUGGGGAAUAUUGCACAAUGGGCGGAAGCCUGAUGCAGCGACGCCGCGUGGGGGAUGACGGCCUUCGGGUUGUAAACUCCUUUCGACCGCGAGGAAGCCACCUGGUUGGAAGGGUGGUGACGGUAGUGGUAGAAGAAGCACCGGCUAACUACGUG